rnacentral:rRNA from 1 species
CCUACGGGAGGCUGCAGUGGGGAAUAUUGCGCAAUGGGCGAGAGCCUGACGCAGCGACGCCGCGUGAGGGAUGAAGGUCUUCGGAGCGUAAACCUCUGUCAGGAGGGAAGUAGAGGUUAUAUGCUAAUAGUGUAUGACUUUGACUGUACCUCCAAAGUAAGCACCGGCUAACUCCGUGCCAGCAGCCGCGGUAAUACGGAGGGUGCGAGCGUUAAUCGGAAUCACUGGGCGUAAAGGGCGCGUAGGUGGCUUUUCAAGUCAGGGGUGAAAUCCGACGGCCCAAACGUGGAACUGCAUUUGAAACUGUAGAGCGUGAGUGUCGGUGAGGGUGGCGGAAUUCGAGGUGUAGGAGUGAAAUGCGUAGAUAUCGGGAGGAACACCGGUGGCGAAGGCGGCCACCUGGACGACAACUGACGCUGAGGUGCGAAAGCGUGGGUAGCAAACAGGAUUAGAUACCCUUGUAGUC